CCUACGGGAGGCAGCAGUGGGGAAUAUUGCACAAUGGGGGAAACCCUGAUGCUGCGACGCCGCGUGAGUGAAGAAGUAUCUCGGUAUGUAAAGCUCUAUCAGCAGGGAAGAGAAUGACGGUACCUGAGUAAGAAGCACCGGCUAACUACGUGCCAGAAGCAGCGGCAAUACGGAGGGGGCAAGCGUUAUCCGGAUUUACUGGGCGUAAAGGGAGCGUAGACGGCGAAGAAAGUCUGAAGUGAAAGCCCGCGGCUCAACCGCGGAACUGCUUUUGAAACUUGUUGGCUGGAGUUCCGGAGAGGUAAGCGGAAUUCCUAGUGUAGCGGUGAAAUGCGUAGAUAUUAGGAGGAACACCAGUGGCGAAGGCGGCUUACUGGACGGUAACUGACGUUGAGGCUCGAAAGCGUGGGGAGCGAACAGGAUUAGAUACCCCUGUAGUC
rnacentral:rRNA from 1 species